GUCGAGCGAACAGAUGAGGAGCUUGCUCCUUAAGAUGUUAGCGGCGGACGGGUGAGUAACACGUGGGCAACCUGCCCUAUAGUUUGGGAUAACUCGCGGAAACGUGAGCUAAUACCGAAUAAUACAUUCCAUCUCCUGAUGGGAUGUUGAAAGAUGGUUUUUCGCUAUCGCUAUAGGAUGGGCCCGCGGCGCAUUAGCUAGUAGGUGAGGUAACGGCUCACCUAGGCAACGAUGCGUAGCCGACCUGAGAGGGUGAUCGGCCACACUGGGACUGAGACACGGCCCAGACUCCUACGGGAGGCAGCAGUAGGGAAUCUUCCACAAUGGACGAAAGUCUGAUGGAGCAACGCCGCGUGAGUGAAGAAGGUUUUCGGAUCGUAAAACUCUGUUGUAAGGGAAGAACAAGUACAGUAGUAACUGGCUGUACCUUGACGGUACCUUAUUAGAAAGCCACGGCUAACUACGUGCCAGCAGCCGCGGUAAUACGUAGGUGGCAAGCGUCGUCCGGAAUUAUUGGGCGUAAAGCGCGCGCAGGCGGUCCUUUAAGUCUGAUGUGAAAUCACGUGGCUCAACCACGUGCGGUCAUUGGA
rnacentral:rRNA from 1 species